rnacentral:rRNA from 1 species
UACGUAGGGGGCAAGCGUUGUCCGGAUUCAUUGGGCGUAAAGAGCGUGUAGGCGGCCAGGUAGGUCGGUUGUGAAAACUGGAGGCUCAACCUUCAGAGGUCGACCGAAACCAUCUGGCUAGAGUCCGGGAGAGGAGAGUGGAAUUCCUGGUGUAGCGGUGAAAUGCGCAGAUAUCAGGAAGAACACCCGUGGCGAAAGCGGCUACCUGGCCCAUUCUUGACGCUGAGGCGCGAAAGCUAGGGGAGCAAACGGG